UACGGAGGAUCCAAGCGUUGUCCGGAUUUAUUGGGUUUAAAGGGUGCGUAGGCGGGUUAUUAAGUCAGUGGUGAAAGCCGGCAGCUCAACUGUCGAACUGCCAUUGAAACUGAUAGCCUAGAAUCUAGUAGAGGUAGGCGGAAUGUAUCAUGUAGCGGUGAAAUGCUUAGAUAUGAUACAGAACACCAAUUGCGAAGGCAGCUUGCUACACUGUUAUUGACACUGAGGCACGAAAGCGUGGGGAUCAAACAGG
rnacentral:rRNA from 1 species